AAAUAUUAGAUCUUCCUUGUCGAGCCAGGCACGAAUAGUCUCAUUUAAACGUGUAUUAAAAGUGCAAUAUAGCUCUAUCUCUGUCACUUACAUAGAAUGCCCGUAAAAUCUUCUCUUUUCAGCUGAGCCAUCUAAAGCUUUUGGCACAAGUUUGGCACCAUCCGCUGUGAGUGGCGAGGGUUGUACUGCACUGCACAGUUGCCAGAUUUUAUAUAAUUUAUAAAGAGAAAAGAAAUACGCACAAAAAAUGGACGGGCAUUAAAGCGGUUUAAAGAUAAAAAAAAUAUGUUUCUGCAUAAAAAUAAGGUAGUACCAUGGCUCCAUGGCACUACCUCACCGGCCGUCACUGGAUACCCCUAGAAACAAAGUUUAAGGGGUCGCCCAUGCGAAAGGUGUAGACGUCCGUCUAGGGAGCUUGCUCCGGAACGGGGCGAAGAUAGAAUGCUGUUUUAUUUUAUUAUUUUAAGUGUAAACUGUAUAUAAAAAUCCUCAAUACAUUUAUUUUGUUUAA